rnacentral:rRNA from 1 species
UACGUAGGGUGCAAGCGUUAAUCGAAAUUACUGGGCGUAAAGCGUGCGCAGGCGGUUGUGCAAGACAGAUGUGAAAUCCCCGGGCUUAACCUGGGAAUUGCAUUUGUGACUGCACGGCUAGAGUGUGUCAGAGGGGGGUAGAAUUCCACGUGUAGCAGUGAAAUGCGUAGAUAUGUGGAGGAAUACCGAUGGCGAAGGCAGCCCCCUGGGAUAACACUGACGCUCAUGCACGAAAGCGUGGGGAGCAAACAGG